GCCCAAACACAGAAACAGACAAACUAGACAUCCAACAUAGAAUGCCCACUCAGAUCACACCCUGACCAAACAAAACAUAGAAACAUACAAAGCAAACUAUGGUCAGGGUGUGACAGCUAAAGACCUAAAUGGUAUCUAUGCGUUCAUCUGACUCUUAGACAGGCAAUGGUUCUGGACUGAUGGCUCCAAAUUUGAUUACCACAAGUGGAAUAAAGGAGAGCCCAAUAACUAUCAAGGUGCCGUUGAUUCAUGCAUUUUGAUGAACUGGGCAGAUGAAAAAGGCUGGAAUGAUUCAGCUGGUAGAGACAAUGUCUUUCCCUCUGUGUGCCCCCUAGAACCUUUUUUCAAAUAAAUGUUCUGUUUACUGUUCAAACAAGUCAUCUGGUUAUGAGACGAUAUGUGCAAG